rnacentral:rRNA from 1 species
GAUGAACGCUGGCGGCGUGCUUAACACAUGCAAGUCGAACGGUGAAGCAGGAGCUUGCUCUUGUGGAUCAGUGGCGAACGGGUGAGUAACACGUGAGCAACCUGCCCCUGACUCUGGGAUAAGCGCUGGAAACGGCGUCUAAUACUGGAUAUGUGAUGUGACCGCAUGGUCUGCAUCUGGAAAGAAUUUCGGGUGGGGAUGGGCUCGCGGCCUAUCAGCGUGUUGGUGAGGUGAUGGCUCACCAAGGCGUCGACGGGGAGUCGGCGUGAGAGGGUGACCGGCCAAACUUGGACUGAGACACGGCCCAGACUCCUACGGGAGGCAGCAGUUGUGAAUCUUGCACAAUGGGCGGAAGCCUGAUGCAGCAACGCCGCGUGAGGGAUGACGGACUUCGGGUUGUAAACCUCUUUUAGCAGGGAAGAAGCGAAAGUGACGGUACCUGCAGAAAAAGCACCGGCUAACUACGUGCCAGCCGCCGCCGUAA